rfam:Myotis lucifugus cont2.951, whole genome shotgun sequence.
AGACCUGGAGAGAGAAGCUGGGUCUGAUCCGUAGCCUACAUAGCAGCUGUUGAUCAGCCCUUGCCCUCUCUUUCUCUCCA